UUUUUUAUCUUUUUGCAUUUGAUCUUUUCAAGUGGGCUUGGUCAGUAGUUCUCUUGUCUUUCCGAAGCUCGCACUGCUGAAGAAUGCUUGGUGGUUUUAGCUGUGAGAAAACAGCUGACAGACGGUCAAUACAAAGGCUUGCAUCCCAACCUCUGUUCUUCCCAUCACAACUAGUAUAAUAUACUAAAGUAGUAGAGAUGUAGUUAGAUGGAAGCAUAAAGAUUUGACUCUUUACUCAACAAACACCUUCACAGAAUAAGUCAUUCCAGUGCCUUCGUUGAAGAUUGUCAUGACAUUUAGAAAAUGUAAACACCUAGUUUGGAUUCUAACAGCAUACGAGUUAGCUGAGGCAGGUUUACCGUCGUGUUGCAUCACUAUUAUCUUUAUGCUUUUUGUUCUUAACAUGGUUUAAAACGUGGCGGCUGCUGUAUCUGUUGUCUAUUCCAUUCAAUGAAGAUAUGCUGUACGUUGUCCAGUUUUAAACAACCUUUUUCUGCUCUAGCCAGUGGUUUGUCAUUGAUCCAAAGCAACAAUUUGGUUUAUAUCUGGCAGUAAAGCGUUAUGAACAGUUUAAAUGUUUAUGCUGCUUUUAAAAAGGAAGCUGAUUGACAGUGGAGUAAAAGACUUCUUGAACCACAAAACAGUCCCACAGCAUGAGGCUACCACCGACCUGCUUGAUGGUUUGAAGGCCUCAAAGUGAGAAAAAUAACUAAAAAUUAGUCUUGCUUGACUAAUUCUGAAGGGAAAAUGUUCUCCAAAAGGCGUUUGGCUUGUCCAUAUCAAGUCUUCUUCUGCAUCCUGGUACAUUGGUGACACAUUUAAACACCUUGUACUUGGGUAUACUUGUUUGAACUGAGGAUUUUGGAUUCAUGAGAACCUUGGUGGGUCUGUUUCUGAAAUACUCGGAGCAGCCAGCCUGGAAGCAACAUUCAUGCUGCAUUCAAAGUCACUUGAAUCCCCUUUCUUCCACAUCCUGUACUUUGUUGAAACUUUAGGAAGUCAUCUUCACCACCUCCACGUCCCUAAAAUACACUAAGCUGCUGCCAUGUGGUUUUUCUCAUAGCUUUACGUGUUAACAAGCCUUUCAGCUGGUCUACCUAAUAAAGAGACCCAUGAGUGCAUUUUAAUCAAUACACAAUAUCAAUAAAAUCAAACUCACGUACCUGAUUCUUGUUUUUCAAAAUACACUUUGUAGUUUUACAAAGGAACAAAAAAACACAAUCUGUUCUAUUAGGUCUUUCAAAACCAAAAAAUUAAAGAUGACAUUUGUGUCCAAUAUAAACGUUAUGUAAACUUGUGACUGAAACUAUAGUAGACUCCCUUGUCAACGGAUGCAUUGUAUCAGUGAGACUAGAUAUGGCAUAGUUCUUAGCGACCACACUGUCUAUUAAUUGCAGACGUCCUGGCGUAAUUUCUCUGCAGUUUUGAUGCCGUUUAACAAAAAAAGGUUAUCUGUGCCAGCAGACAGAGGAAAACAUGAGGGGUAAAAAAAAAAACUCAAUCACACAUGAAUAAAUAGCUUAAAAGUCAUGGUUUUAAUUUUGGCCUUCAUUCUCUGAAAACAUCCUAAACUCCCUGAAUCUGCCCAUGGUUUUGUGCACUAUAGAAGCCAAAAAAGCAGGAUUAUUGAAGCGACCAUCACAACUGACAUUUUAACCUAUCGUACUGCUUGACGACUCUCUCAGAGGGUUUGCAAUAACAAAGGGUGACCCAAUUUCUGUGAAAAAUGAGUGUUUGGUAAAGAUUCCUUUGACACUCAACCUUCACCUUUCACAAGCGAUCAUAAAAGACUUUCAGAGCAGCGUUAGUUUUACUUUCCGUCUUUGACUUUUCCACUGUGCUGCCAACAAGUAUGUUGACAGGCGAAGGAACUGGAAACCAUUGAAUUUUAUCCCCUUUGUUUGUCAAGAAACUGUUUAGAGAAACCAAAAAUAGAAGUUUCGCUCUGUUUUUCUGACUUUCCAAUAAUAAAGGGUUUCUACACCUUAUUCAAGAAAUUUCUACUGUGAGCUUUAAAACAUUGAUCCUGCAAAGCCCAAGGAAGGAAGGACACAAGGAAAGUAGGGAUAAAAGGAAAGAAAUCAACUGCAAAUACAAGUGUCUCCAUCUUCCUUAUUUCUAUCCCAAUACGUAUUAUGAUCGACAGAAGUCAAAUUACUUUUCUAAUCGUCUGAGAACCCUCUGAAUAAUAUUGGAAAUCAG